rnacentral:rRNA from 1 species
GUGGGGAAUAUUGGACAAUGGGCGAAAGCCUGAUCCAGCAAUGCCGCGUGAGUGAAGAAGGCGCUACGCGUUGUAAACUGCUUUUAACCGGGAAGAAACCCCAGGACGUGUCCUGGGUUGACGGUACCGGAGGAAUAAGCACCGGCUAACUUCGUGCCAGCAGCCGCGGUAAUACGAAGGGUGCAAGCGUUAUCCGGAUUCAUUGGGUUUAAAGGGUGCGUAGGCGGAGCGUUAAGUCAGUGGUGAAAUCCUGCAGCUUAACUGUAGACUUGCCAUUGAUACUGGCGCUCUUGAGUGCGCUUGAAGUGGGCGGAAUGUGCCGUGUAGCGGUGAAAUGCUUAGAUAUGGCACAGAACACCAAUUGCGAAGGCAGCUCACUAAGGCGAUACUGACGCUGAGGCACGAAAGCGUGGGGAUCGAACAGGAUUAGAUACCCCGGUAGUCC